rnacentral:lncRNA from 12 species
GUAAGUGGGAAGGGGCCAGAGCUGUGGGGUCUUUUACAGAUAGAUAGCUGGGGCUCAGAGGAAGCCUGCCUGAGAAGUUGAACACUGCCCAUAUCAGUGGUCCACACAACACUUCUGUAAAAAAAAAAAAAAAAAAAAAAAGGAAUGGGGAUGGGACUCUUUCCUCAAAAUACUCUCUGUCAGAAAAUUAUGAUUGUAUACAAAUUUUGUUAAAACAAGAGUCUUCACUGCCAUCUGCUGAAAAAUUGUUGUAACAAAUAUGUGCGUUUGUGAUGUCAACAAUGAGUAUGGUGCCUGUUUGGUCAUGCUGCCCAACCUGCCCAACUAUGAACAGCAACCACUGUUCUUCCCUUGAAGUGCGAGGAGAGCCUCUGUGCUGGGCCUGUAGCAGUGGGCAGCGCCUUGAUGCAAAGGAAUUCACUCUUCCCAGGGGCUCUGCAGAUUGUAGAAGUGUCCAACUCCAGAAAGAGGAAGACACAAGAGAACAAACCACAACGCCCAUGCAAGGCAAAGGAAAGUGGAAAAAAAACAAGCCCGAGAACAGAUGGAGGAAAAGAAUCAGCAACUAACUGGAAAAGGAAGGAAAACAGAGCAGCAGAACAUGAAAGAGCAAAGUGGACUUCAAUCUCUGCUAUUCUGAGGCUGCAAGGGAUCCCAUUAAGAAAAUCACGUUCAGAAAAACAGCAUCCAGAGAAACAAAAAGAAAUAUCCUUGCUUGUGGCCUUCUUUCCAGGUGUAGAAAUCUUCCUUAGAAACUGCCCCCAAAGGGACUUGCCUUUACAACUCAUAGCCUACAAUUGA